GGGGACGUAGCGAAGCUGGUUAUCGCGUCAGAUUGUCGAUCUGAAGAUCGCGGGUUCGAUCCCCGUCGUCCCCGCCA
rnacentral:tRNA from 1 species